UAGGAAAUCUUCGGCAAUGGGGGCAACCCUGACCGAGCAACGCCGCGUGAGUGAAGAAGGUUUUCGGAUCGUAAAGCUCUGUUGUAAGAGAAGAACGUGUGUGAGAGUGGAAAGUUCACACAGUGACGGUAACUUACCAGAAAGGGACGGCUAACUACGUGCCAGCAGCCGCGGUAAUACGUAGGUCCCGAGCGUUGUCCGGAUUUAUUGGGCGUAAAGCGAGCGCAGGCGGUUUAAUAAGUCUGAAGUUAAAGGCAGUGGCUUAACCAUUGUUCGCUUUGGAAACUGUUAAACUUGAGUGCAGAAGAGGAGAGUGGAAUUCCAUGUGUAGCGGUGAAAUGCGUAGAUAUAUGGAGGAGCACCGGUGGCGAAAGCGGCUCUCUGGUCUGUAACUGACGCUGAGGCUCGAAAGCGUGGGGAGCAAACAGG
rnacentral:rRNA from 1 species